rnacentral:lncRNA from 1 species
CAUCUUUCAUGGCUGGGUAUAUUAAUUCAUUCCUUAAUAACCUCAAGUUUGUGAGUCAAAAGUGUUCCAUAAACACAAUUUUCAGCCCGAUCAAUCAUUCAAAAAGCAUGCUGUUCUGACUUCUAUGCAAACAUAUAAAUAGAAAUGAUAGCAUGAAUUAAGGAAAUUUAUUUUUCUCUCAUUUUUUUUGUACCUUGUACCUGAACAGUCAACACAUCAGGGUUAAAUUAUGUUUAAUUUUCAUUCAAAGUUCAAAAUGCAGAUUCUUUUUUACCUGCACUGAAAAAUACCUUCUGAGUUUUUUUUAUACAACCAAGAUAGACACAACACAG